CAAGAACUUGCCUCUUAAAUUAACAUACUUGGUGAAACAUUUUGAUUAAAAUAAAUUCCAAGCAAUCAAACACUAUUACAAGCCAAAAGAAUUCAAACACACUUAACAAGAAAUAAAAGAAUUAUUCUUGUACGACCAUAGAUUAAACCAUGACCAUUCCAAGAAUUCCAGCUAUGGCAACAAUAAUCCACCCACAACAUCCUAAUAAAGCAAUGUUGCCUGUUGAUGCUGGUACUGGGGUUUGGUUGGGAGAAGGUGAAGUCGCUGGAGAUCCCAACUCCGACAACACGGUUAUGGUAAGUUUCAUGUUCUUAGACUCACAAUGGUUGCUCACACCACAAAUGUACCAUUUCUUGCCCGGAUAUGUGAGUGGGAUAGUAUCUUCUCCAGUGGUCAAGGCCUCCGCGCCAUCAGGUGCCUUACAUUGUUGGAAUCCAGUUCCAUUAACUCUGAUCACAUUGUGAGCUCCUGGUGAAUACCUAAAAACAAGUUUGUCUCCAACAUGGAACUCCUUUCCCUGAGCCCAAGCUUGAUAAUCAAAGUUGGUAGUCCAUCCUGUCUCAUCACCAACCACAAAUUCUGUAGCCAAAAUUGAAGGAACAAACACAGCUGCAAUGGCAAUGAUGAUGCAUAUCUUGGAAGAAGCCAUUACAAUUUCUUUCCCCACAAACUAAGCAACUUUCGUUUCUCUCUGUGAAUAUUGAUUUUCCUGAUGAGAUGCUCUGUGUAACUUGAUUGCCUAUUUAUUGCUUUUUGCUUUGCUUAUUUAUAGAGUUGAGUGAUCGCUCAAAACCAAAGUUAAUAUAACAAAUAUAGCAUAUGGGUCCGGCAAG
rnacentral:misc_RNA from 1 species